rnacentral:rRNA from 1 species
CCUGGCUCAGGAUGAACGCUAGCGACAGGCCUAACACAUGCAAGUCGAGGGGCAGCACAAGGAGCAAUCUGAGGUGGCGACCGGCGCACGGGUGAGUAACACGUAUGCAACCUGCCUGUAAGCGGGGAAUAACCCGUUGAAAGACGGACUAAUACCGCAUAAUACUAAAUUACUGCAUGGUAAUUUAUUUAAACAUUUAUGGCUUACAGAUGGGCAUGCGCAUGAUUAGCUAGUUGGAGAGGUAACGGCUCCCCAAGGCAACGAUCAUUAGGGGUUCUGAGAGGAAGGUCCCCCACACUGGUACUGAGACACGGACCAGACUCCUACGGGAGGCAGCAGUGAGAAAUAUUGGUCAAUGGACGAGAGUCUGAACCAGCCAAGUCGCGUGCAGGAAGAAUUGUCCUAUGGAUUGUAAACUGCUUUUGCAGGGGAAUAAAGUGCAUCACGUGUGAUGUUUUGUAUGUACUCUGCGAAUAAGGAUCGGCUAACUCCGUGCCAGCCGCCGC